CGAGGGUCUUGUCUGUGAAAGCAGGUCGUGGUGAUGCUUCUUCUUCGACUCUUGGUGUAGAGUGGAGAGCAGCUAAUUUACCGUACUUUCAGAGGCAAAGCUCUAGCUAUGGACGUAUUGCUUACAAUGACUAUGAAUCAAGCGAUGAGUCGGACAGAGAUGUUGGGUCUUCUCAGUCUCAGCAAAUGGCGGGUUCGACUCUUGAUAACAUUGACCAAUGGAGAUUUAAACUAACUAUGCUUCUCCGGAACAAAGAAGACCAAGAAGUUGUGUCAAGGGAGAGAAAAGAUCGGCGCGAUUUUGACCAUAUCUCAGCUAUGGCUACCAGAAUGGGAUUACACAGCCGUCAGUAUUCGAAGAUUGUUGUCAUUAGCAA